GGAUAGCUCAGUUGGUUAGAGUGUGCUGCUGAUAACGCCAAAGUCACAGGUUCAAUCCCCAAAAAGGACAGCUACA